GGCGGACGGGUGAGUAAUACCUAGGAAUCUGCCUGAUAGUGGGGGAUAACGUUCGGAAACGGACGCUAAUACCGCAUACGUCCUACGGGAGAAAGCAGGGGACCUUCGGGCCUUGCGCUAUCAGAUGAGCCUAGGUCGGAUUAGCUAGUUGGUGAGGUAAUGGCUCACCAAGGCUACGAUCCGUAACUGGUCUGAGAGGAUGAUCAGUCCACACGUGAGAACUGAGACACGGUCCAGACUCCUACGGGAGGCAGCAGUGGGGAAUAUUGGACAAUGGGCGAAAGCCUGAUCCAGCCAUGCCGCGUGUGUGAAGAAGGUCUUCGGAUUGUAAAGCACUUUAAGUUGGGAGGAAGGGCAGUUACCUAAUACGUGANUGUCUUGACGUUACCGACAGAAUAAGCACCGGCUAACUCUGUGCCAGCAGACCGCGGUAAUACAGAGGGUGCAAGCGUUAAUCGGGAAUUACUGG
rnacentral:rRNA from 1 species